CUCAAAAAAUAAGUAAAUAAACUUAAAGGAAAAAGGAAAAAGGUGGGAAGAUUGACAGAAGGUGCUUGACGUUAGACGCCAAGUUUGCAUAGAACUGCUCACCCCCGAGUGCGUCUAAGCCAGAACCGACUUCUGCCAGAGGAGAUUACACGCAUUUGGUUCUGAGCAACCAAAUUCUGGGCACCACUGCCUCCACGGAAGGCCCUGCCUCAGCAGCCCAGAGACCAGGCUCUACUGAGCCAUUGCAGGCUGAUGCCUAGCCAGUGCCCUGGAGUACACAGGGAGAGAAGAAAAGACAGAAGAGGGGAAGAUAUGUGAGAAAGCCGCCAGGAGUUAUUAUGCUCAUUUUAAAGAUGAAGAAACUGAGGCCAAGAGGUGAAAACCACACCAGGAGAUCCCCCAGCAGCCUGUGGCUAGACAGACCAGGACUCCAGCCUGACUGGGCAAAUCAUAUUUUUACACUCCAGCUUCUGCUAAUUUAUGCCACAGCCUGAGCUCUCCCUUGCUGAAGAUCAAGUUUCAGGGAGCGGGGAGACAAUUCCCGGGUUUCUUUAGUCAUCUCGGAGCCUAUCAGAAGCCAAGCAGGGGACAAAUUAACAACAACAGAAAGUAAUCAUA